rnacentral:rRNA from 1 species
CUUGGCUCUCGCAACGAUGACGAACGCAGCAAAAUGCGAUACGUAGUGUAAAUUGAAAAAUUCCGUAAAUCAUCAAUUUUUUGAACGCAUAUUGCCCCGGAGGCCUCGGCGGAGGGCAUGUCUGCCUGAGCGUC